GCAGGAAACAUACGUCUGUUGAGCCAAAAUGGCGUCCGUGAUCCUUCAGUCUGGAGUGGGUUAGCGUGAAACCUGUCCGAAUAAACCUAAAAUGACACGGUUCGGCUCUUAUUAGACGGAUUAAUUAUUUUUUAUCAUUAAGAAGAACCCAUCUAAACUAGCGAGGACACGUUUAGAUGCUGUGAGGAAGAGAUGGCUGGACGUGGAGUCGGGUGUUUGUGGAAACGUCAUGUUGUGGAGCAGCUGAAACAGAGAGACAGAGUUCAGCGUCAGGCCUUUGAGGAGAUCAUACACCAGUAUAACCGGUUGUUGGAGAGGUCAGAUCUUCAGGUUGUGUUUUCUGAACGUCUCCAGACCGACAAGUAUGAGCAUCAGAACCGACACGACCUCAGUCCUGGCGUUGACGGUGGCCGCAGUGACUCCCUGCAGCAGGAAAUGGCUCAGAUGAGAAUCAAACAUCAGGAGGAGCUGACGGAGCUGCACAAGAAGCGAGGAGAGUUGGCUCAGACCGUGAUUGAACUAAACAACCAGAUUCAGCAGAAAGACAAAGAGAUCCAGAGUAAUGAAGCCAAGAUGUUGGAUUAUCAGCAGCAGAUCUCGCGUUUGGAAGGGGAGUGUCGUGACCUCCGAAACUCUCUGGCUGAUUUGGAACGAGCCAAUCAGACGCUGCGAGACGAGUACGAUGCCCUGCAGAUCACGUUCAGCGCUCUGGAGGAGAAACUACGGAAAACCACGGAGGACAAUCAGGAGCUGGUGACGCGCUGGAUGGCGGAGAAAGCCCAGGAGGCCAACAGACUCAACGCUGAGAACGAGAAGGACACCAGGCGCAGACAGGCCAAGCUUCAGAAGGAGCUGGCGGACGCAGCGAAGGAACCUCUUCCCAUAGACCAAGAUGAUGACAUCGAAGUUCUCUCAGAGGAUGCUGGGAAGGCAACGGGUGAAACGUCACCAAGCAGACAGCUCAGUCGCACACCCAGUAAACGAGUGUCCCAGCAGCCUCAGCCUCCUCCUGGCGGACUGCUGGAUUCCAUCACUAAUAUCUUCGGCUUGUCUGAUUCUGUCCAACCUGGUUUCGUCCCGUCUGACUCCAGAAGACGUCGCUCGGUGAACUCGUUCAGCUCGUCUCCUGAGGCUGCAGAAGCGCAGUCGGCGUGCGCUGACGUCCGGGUCCCCUCCACUGCGCUACACAUCUUCGACGCCCAUGAUGGGGAAGUGAACGCGGUGAGGUUCAGUCCCGGUUCCCGUCUGCUCGCCACGGGAGGAAUGGAUCGCAGGGUGAAACUCUGGGAGGUCGUAUCCGGGCGAUGUGAACCCAAAGGUGCGCUGACGGGCAGUAAUGCUGGAAUCACCAGUAUAGAGUUUGAUAGUGCGGGAACGUAUUUACUGGCCGCUUCUAACGACUUCGCCAGCAGAAUCUGGACUGUUGACGACUUCAGACUGCGGCACACACUCACAGGUCACAGCGGGAAGGUUUUAUCUGCUCGGUUUCUCCUCGACAACGCUCGAAUCGUCUCCGGCAGUUACGAUCGAACGCUCAAGCUCUGGGAUUUACGCAGCAAAGUCUGCAUAAAGACGGUGUUUGCCGGCUCUAGCUGUAAUGACAUCGUCUGCACGGAGCAGUGUGUGAUGAGCGGACACUUCGACAAGAAAGUUCGUUUCUGGGACAUCAGAGCGGAGAGUAUCGUGCACGAGUUGGAGUUGCUGGGACGCGUUACGUCUUUGGAUCUGAAUCACGACCGGACCGACCUCCUGACCUGCUCUCGGGACGACCUGGUGAAAAUAAUCGACCUGCGCAGUAAUGCAGUGCGACAGACCUUCAAUGCUCAAGGAUUCAAGUGCGGCUCUGACUUCACCAGGGUCACAUUCAGUCCUGACGGGAGUUACGUGGCGGCCGGUUCUGUAGACGGCGUUCUGUACAUCUGGAACGUUCUAACAGGAAAACUAGACAAAACUCUUGAUAAGGGUCACAGUUCUGCCAUAAACGCGGUGUCCUGGUCUCCGUCGGGAGCGUACGUGGCCAGCGUGGAGAAAGGCAGCAAGGCCGUGCUUUGGUCUGACAUGUGAUCAGCGAUUGGUUGAAACGGACUGUAAACACAGAAAGAAAGUGAGCCCACCCUCACGUCCCACUGGCCUCUUGAACUACCUUUCCCACAAUGCCAUCUGUCUGGCCACCUGCGGGUGUGUGUGUGUGUGUUGCCUGCCUGUACGAUCGGGCAGCACCGCACACGUAAUUAUACAUGAAUAUAUUUAUAUCGGCUUUCCUGUACUGUCUCGCACACACUAGAUGUGGGACAAUGAAGAUUAUGCAAAUGACUCGUUGUCCUACACGACUCUUACUGCUUAUUUUAACACGGCUUUAAAUUAGUGUGUGUGUGUUUGUGUGCAUUUACUGUUGGGAGAUUAUGCUUUGCCUUAUACAGAUACAGGUCAUUAAGCUGUGUGUGUGUUUUUCCUGGAGUGCUGGAAAUCCUGCAUCUCCCUUUUAUAAACUGGAAUAUCAAACAUGCAUUGAACAGGAACCCAAUUUUCUUUAGGAUGAAUCUUACAAAGAAAUGUCUCACAUUUUGCUUAAAGAACAUGCAGGAUUUCUGUUUAUAUGAAUUUACAUUUUUUGACUUUUAAGCACAUUUAACCCCCAUGCACUUAAAAAAAUACCGUUGUCAUGAAUGAGAAAUGAAUUCUCACACUGUAAUACAGUAAGGAUUAUGACGUCGUCCACAAAGGGCUUUUAUUUAUUAGAAUCUGCAUAAACUGAAGCCAGAACAUAUGCUGUUAUUAUAUAAUUAUAUUAUAAUAAAUACAUAUUAUAAUUGCUAUUUUUCCCACAUCACAGUAAUGAGAACAAUUU